rnacentral:rRNA from 1 species
AUGCGUUAGCUGUACCACUGAAUCUAAGAUCCAACGGCUAGUUCUCAUCGUUUACGGCGUGGACUACCAGGGUAUCUAAUCCUGUUUGCUACCCACGCUUUCGCACCUCAGCGUCAGUGUCGAUCCAGAGAGUUGCCUUCGCCAUUGGUAUUCCUCCUGAUAUCUACGCAUUUCACCGCUACACCAGGAAUUCUACUCUCCUCUAUCGUACUCUAGUCUAUAGGUUUUGAAUGCAGUUCCUAGGUUGAGCCCAGGGAUUUCACAUCCAACUUGACAAACCGCCUACGCGCGCUUUACGCCCAGUAAUUCCGAUUAACGCUUGGACCCUCCGUAUUACCGCGGCUGCUGGCACGGUGUUAGCCGGUCCUUAUUCUGUAAGUUAAGUCACGGAACAUAGGUAUUAACUAUAUUCUUUUCGUCCUUACCUAAAGUGCUUUACAACCCUAGAGCCUUC